UGGGGAAUAUUGCACAAUGGGCGAAAGCCUGAUGCAGCGACGCCGCGUGAGGGAUGACGGCCUUCGGGUUGUAAACCUCUUUCAGUAGGGACGAAGCGCAAGUGACGGUACCUGCAGAAGAAGCACCGGCUAACUACGUGCCAGCAGCCGCGGUAAUACGUAGGGUGCGAGCGUUGUCCGGAAUUACUGGGCGUAAAGAGCUCGUAGGCGGUUUGUCACGUCGUCUGUGAAAUCCUAGGGCUUAACCCUGGACGUGCAGGCGAUACGGGCUGACUUGAGUACUACAGGGGAGACUGGAAUUUCUGGUGUAGCAGUGGAAUGCACAGAUAUCAGGAAGAACACCGAUGGCGAAGGCAGGUCUCUGGGUAGUAACUGACGCUGAGGAGCGAAAGCAUGGGUAGCGAUCAGG
rnacentral:rRNA from 1 species